rnacentral:rRNA from 1 species
UACGUAGGGUGCGCGCGUUAAUCGGAAUUACUGGGCGUAAAGCGUGCGCAGGCGGUCUUUUAAGUCAGAUGUGAAAUCCCCGGGCUUAACCUGGGAACUGCGUUUGAAACUGGAAGGCUAGAGUGUGGCAGAGGGGGGUGGAAUUCCACGUGUAGCAGUGAAAUGCGUAGAUAUGUGGAGGAACACCGAUGGCGAAGGCAGCCCCCUGGGCUAACACUGACGCUCAUGCACGAAAGCGUGGGGAGCAAACGGG